GAUGAAGAACGCAGCGAAAUGCGAUAAGUAGUGUGAAUUGCAGAAUUCAGUGAAUCAUCGAAUCUUUGAACGCACAUUGCGCCCCUUGGUAUUCCAUGGGGCAUGCCUGUUCGAGCGUCAUUUGUACCUUCAAGCUCUGCUUGGUGUUGGGUGUUUGUCUCGCCUCUGCGCGCAGACUCGCCUCAAAACGAUUGGCAGCCGGCGUAUUGAUUUCGGAGCGCAGCACAUUUUGCGAUCCAGAUCAACGUACAGCGGCAUCCAAGAAGCCUUAUUUAACGCUCUUGACCUCGGAUCAGGUAGGGAUACCCGCUGAACUUAAGCAUAUCAAUAAGCGGAGGA
rnacentral:misc_RNA from 1 species